CACAUAACCGCAUAUAUAUUAGAGCUGGGCACGUUAACGCCUUAUAAAUACGUUAACGUAGCAAUCCAUUAACUCCGACAAUGAUUUUAUCAAUCGCUAACAACAUUUAUUUAUUUUUGUAUUGGGAAGGGCUUAAUACUGCUGCACACAUUAACCGGGAAAGUGGAGAAAGACGACUUAACCUCACUCUACAGGAACCUUACUGAACAGAGACCGUUUAUGCUGUUCCCUGGUAAAAGAGAAAUGUUUCUUCUGUUACCUGUACGUGCAAUACACUAGUUUUUAAUUCGUAUUGAAUUUUGAGCAUUAUGCUAAAUGUAAUCACAGGAAAAUCAUGCGAUUAAUCAAUUAAAUGUGUACAUCUUUGCCCAACACUAAUAUAUA